UUGCUUGAUUAGUUUCAGUAGCAAAAGCUUGGCAGAGAAGCACUGUGGGUGUGCUCCACGCACCCAGAUGGGAACAUACCACAUUGAAUGUAUUAAAAACUGAUGGUGUGCUGGGUUUUUUUUUACAAGCAGGUCCUCAACCCCUCAUCUAAUCUGUGAGCCAGAAGGCAAAAAUAAAAGUUUUUAUGUCCUUUUUAUGUCCUUUUACAUGGACAGUGCAAGACAAGGAACUCAGAGGCGCACCAGAGAGAUGGGAAAAUCUGAGGGUAAUCCUGAAGCUCUUAGGAGCAGAGAAAAGAAGAACGCUACCCAAAAGGUCUUUGGAAGAGCUGUGAGGUGUUCAUGGCAGAAAGUCUUGCAAGGGAAGAAAUGCCAUUGUGGAGGGACGUGGAGGCACUGUAUGGUCCUGGCCCAGCAGCCGGUGCUAAUCAACAGAGAGAGGGGUCAGACCUGCACAUCAGCAUCACCAGAAAGCACAACUGCAUCUGUACUACCCAGAGAACAAAUGGCUGGUGAUGCAUUAUGAAAAUGCUUUACUGAGGUCUCUCCAAGUGAGACGGGUUGAACUUCACAUAUUGUCUGUAAGAAGAAUUAGGAUGAGCUGUCUCCCUCCCUUGAAGACUAUGUGUCACUAUGGGGCUCCUAAGCAAGCUUGGAACAUCUAAAUGUCAUAUAACAUGGAAGGAUUAGAAGCAAAAGCCAAAGAAAGUUAAUCCAUUAAGUAUAUAAAGGAAGAAUGAACAGCUCUGGAAGGUGGACCAGUAAGAUAAAGAAAUGAUGUCCAGUGUGAGAGAUUAAACCAAUAAAUCAUAGUACUAUCCGUGUGCCUUCCAGAUGGCAAUUUAUCUAUAAUAAAUCCCAUAAUAUCAAGUCACUGCCAUGGACACAUGACGGGGCGUAGCUAUGGCUACAGUUUUUAUCAACAAGUCCUGUUACUCAAGUAGCGUGUAUAACAAAAUUCAUGCAGUCACCUUUUUUGGCAUUGUGAUGCUUUCAACACAGCAAGAUCAGAGUAGUUCAUCUGGGCAAAAAUAAGAAGUGUUGUGGAGCAGAAAUUAUGAUGAAAGUUUGUUUUUGCAUGGUACAUGUUAAGAUUUGUGUAAUGGAGGAGAUGUUAUUUAAAAUGAUGAGCAUUCCAAGUGGUAUAACUAGAGAAAGAGCUACUGCUAAUGAAAGGACUGUGAGAGCUUUAUAAUGCUAAUUAUCUAAGUUUUAAUUUCUUUUCAACUUAUCAUCUAAUAAUUCAAGCUUUUGUUAUUGUGUCUGUGUGUACAUGCAGGUAAUUCUAAUAAGUUGCAAAGCCAGAGAGACCAAAAUGCUUGCAGACUGUGUUGGGUCAUCCUUAAAUCAAACUGUUCUUGUAUGACCUUUUCCCAUAUUUCCACCUAAAAACUUAUCUGUUACUCAGGAAAAAUAAUUGUGUCCUCAUAAUUAAUUAAAAAUCAGUAGUCUCAGAUUCUGAGAAGUGGAAGUGUAGAAUUAGAUCUGUGUUUGAAGGCAGCACUGACAAUGGUGUGUAUUCUCUUUGUGUGUAAGUAGAUUGCUAACCCCAAAACUUUGUAAGAUCUCAUCUUGAAUUGUACUGUGGAGAUUUCUGAAAUAAUCAUGGUAAAUCUUACGAAAGUGUUUGCAAUUAAAAAGAAAAAUCUUAUUAAAAAUCUUUAAAAUCUGUACAUAUCACCCUGAAAUAAAUAUAAAAUGAAGGUAAUUUGCAGAGUGCAGAUGUGAUGUAGCAAAUGUUAUCUUCAGGCCAAUGCUAAAAUAGUUUUCUGAUAGUGAAGCAACCACACAAUUCCUUUGUAAAUGUAAAUUCAAGAGUCCCUCUGAUGUAUGUUCUGAAUUGCACCUUCAAGAAAAGGAACUGCGUGCUUUUUCACUGACUAAUUCUUGAACACAUUAUCUUCCACUGGCAAAUUAAAAUAACAGAAUUUAGAGAUGAAGAAAUUUCUUGAGGUCGUGUAGCUCAUUCCCAUGGCUGCCAUACAUUGUGCUAUCUAAUAUAUUUUCCUUGUCUAGCCUGGAUUUAUAUGUUUCUAAGGAUGAAGUUUCCAAACCGUUCCUCAGAGGAUCAUUCUGCAGUCUCGUCUUUUUCUAUGACAGCAAGAUCUUUGGAUAGCUAUUGCUUUUUUUUCUUACAAUUGCCCUACAAAAAUUGAGUCAACUUACGUGGUAUACUUGAGAAAAUAGCACCUAAAAAUAAAAAA
ensembl:lncRNA